UGCAAGUCGAACGCGAACGGCUCCUUCGGGAGCCUAGUAGAGUGGCAAACGGGUGAGUAACGCGUGGGUAACGUACCCUGAUCCUGGGAAUAAGCCUCGGAAACGAGGGCUAAUACCGAAUGUGGCGAACGACCGGUUGGUCGCUCGCUAAAGGUGGCCUCUUCUAUGCUGCCGGGUUGGGAUCGGCCCGCGUCCCAUUAGCUAGUUGGUGAGGUAACGGCUCACCAAGGCCACGAUGGGUAGCCGGCCUGAGAGGGUGUACGGCCACACUGGCACUGAGACAAGGGCCAGUCCCCUAUGGGAGGCGCAGGCGGGAAUAGUUCACAAUGGGCGAAAGCCUGAUGACGCGACGCCGCGUGAGCGAAGAAGACCUUCGGGUUGUAAAGCUCUGUCAGGAGGGAAGAAGGCUCUACGGGUCAAUAGCCCGUGGGAUUGACGGUACCUCCAGAGGAAGCCCCGGCUAAAUACGUGCCAGCAGCCGCGGUAAUACGUAUGGGGCAAGCGUUGUCCGGAUUUACUGGGCGUAAAGGGCGCGUAGGCGGUUUGUUAAGUCGAAGGUGAAAUCCUCGGGCUCAACUCGAGAAUUGCCUUCGAUACUGGCAAACUAGAGUGGCGGAGAGGAAAGCGGAACUCUUGGUGUAACGGUGGUAUGUGUAGAUAUCAAGAGGAACACCGGUGGCGAAGGCGGCUUUCUGGACGCACACUGACGCUCAGGCGCGAAAGCGUGGGUAGCAAACAGGAUUAGAUACCCUGGUAGUCCACGCCAUAAACGAUGGGUACUAGGUGUCGGGGGUAUCGACCCCUCCGGUGCCGCAGUUAACGCACUAAGUACCCCGCCUGGGGAUUAUGGUCGCAAGGCUGAAACUCCAAGGAAUUGACGGGGCCCCGCACA
rnacentral:rRNA from 1 species